rnacentral:lncRNA from 1 species
UUCCAAGGACAGAGAUAAGAUUUUUCCCCGUUCUGCUUCUCAAGCAGGUCAACCUGGAUCUAGUAAGACCAAAUAUUUAUGGACAUAUGUGAGUAUGCAAUUCCCUAAUGAAAAAUGUGUGAUAAUAUGUCAGAAUGAAAGAUUUUUGAGACAGUAAUGCUGACUGUAUGAGUUGGGCAUUUACUUAAGCUGCGUUGCUGGGAAGCAGAUACCUGGCCCUCCAUCAAAUAAAGCUUUCUCUAAUAAAAAAAUAAUGGGAAAAUGCUUUCCCAUUAUAAUGGGAAAAUAAAAAAAUAAUGGGAAAAGUUUCAAGAAGAUGGUAGAGGGAUUUAAAAUCAAAUUUUAAAUAACAUUACUGUGGGGGCGCCUGGGUGGCUCAGUCAGGUAAGCAUCCGACUUCGGCUCAGGUCAUGAUCUCACAGUCCGUGAGUUCGAGCCCCACGUCGGGCUCUGUGCUGACAGCUCGGAGCCUGGAGACUGCUUCAGAUUCUGUGUCUCCCUCUCUCUGACCCUCCCCCAUUCAUGCUCUGUCUCUGUCUCAAAAAUAAAUAAACAUUUUAAAAAAUAAAAAAAAUAACAUUACUGUGCAGAGACAUCUUGACACGUGAGGUCAAAGAAAAUUUGGUAAUAUUUUAAAAUUUGGACACUUCAUUAUCAGAGAUUUUAUCUCAUUUGAUUUUUUUUUACUACUGCAUUAAAAUAUUAUUUACCCUAGUAACUGAAUUGUGUGCCUCCUUAACUUUUGCACCCAAGAUCAGUGCUCACUCAUCUUGCUUUUUCCUUGUUAGGUCCCAAAGGCUUUCAGGGUUCUCUGGCCUCCAUUCUAAAACUAUUAGGAAGAAAGAGUUGGAGGUGGAACCAUGUGGAAUUUUAGGUAAGGGGGGCUUCUUGGUGUAAAUGAAGGUGCUCAGGGAAAAAAGAGAAUGAAGCCAUAUUAUUUCCCCAAGAAGAUAAUUAAGCUUAAAGGAAUUAAAGGCCUAGAAAUUACUAGUUUGUGGGUUAGUGCCACAUGCAUAAAAUGUUAAAAUUUGGUUUACUUGUGGAACCAUAGCAGUUCAGAUAUAUCUACGUAUGAUAUAAUCAUUAAAAUAAAAUAAUUUAUACUCCAGAUUUGGUGAUAUCUUUAAUAGAUUGAUUCUUGUGGAACUCAGUCUAUUCAGAAAGUAUGGAUCCAGGAUAUUUUCAACCCUUACAUUUGGUGGAUAAAGCUUUUAAAAUAACUUCUUGAAAUGAAUUUGGAAGUGUAUUCUGACAUUUAAUUUACUUUUCAAAGGUCAGGCAGAUACAUCUCUAUUUAUCUAAAGGCCCUGAAAACAGGAUCUGUUACUACAGAUGUUUGUUUUAAAAAGUAAAUAUUGAAGCUCUGCCCUUGAAAAUGACAUUAAAGGAGAGCGUUAGGCACAUCCUCAAAGAUAUGCAUUAGUGUCUAUCUGUUUCCUUGCUAUUAUCAACUAAUCUUACAGAACUCUUUUGAGAUCAAAAGUAUCCCUAUGCUAUGGUGGUUUAUGAAAGGAGCUUGGGAUUUCUCUCUGACAUUGCUGCUCUUUUGGUAAUGAAACAGCACAUGUUGAGUCAGCACCUGAGAGCACGAACACAAGGUGAAAAAGUGAAGAUUUAAUAUUUAGUACUUACUGUUUUAGUUCAGCAAUGAACUUGGAUGUUUUGGGUAGUUGAAAACACAUGAGAAGGUUCUGGUGGAAACAUGAGAACUGGAACAACAGAAUCUCCUACUAACUGGGAGCUUCCACUCACUUAACCUCUGAUCCUCAACCUCUUCACCUGUAAAUGGGGGAUCACAAUACUUCCUGAAUACAAAAGUUUUUAUUAAAAAGCGUAACUAAUAAACAUGCUGAAAUUGGUGCGUUACCACUGGAGUUAUCCUUGGGGCUUUGUCUACAAAUCUCCCCAUGUUUCCCACUCCACCUUUUCCCCCUGCCUCACACAAUGAAAUUAUAGGGAAGAAGUGUACUGCCUUGCUUGGACUGAAUGUUUGUGUCCCCCAGAAAUUCAUAUUGUGAAAUUGUAGGGGAUGAUUCUAGGAGGUGGGACUUGGGGAGGUGAUGAUUGGGAUUAGCGCCCUUAUAAAAGAGGUCUUGAGCUCCAUUGCUGCUUCUGCCAUGUGAGGUCACAGGGAAGAGGCCACGAAGAAAGGGGAUUCUCUCUAGACACGAAUCUGCUGGUGUCAUCAUCUGGACUUCCCAGCCUCAGAACUGUGAGGAACAAGUGUCCUCACAAGCCAUCCAGUGUAUACUGUACUGUGAUAACAGCCUGACUGGACUAAGACAAAUACUCCCCCAUCUUUUUUUUUUUUUUUGACAUUAUUCAGCAAAAAAUCGAAUCCAUGAGAAAACCAGCCAUUUAGCAGUGCAUGCGGCACUUCUGUCAGCAGCAGUUACACAAAUGUUACCUGCAUUGACAUCUGUAGCAGCCAAACUGCCUCAAGUUAAAACAAUUUGAAGCACAGCUCCCUGUGAUCACGCGUGGGUUUUGUUGCUGGUGCAUCGCAGUCCAACUUCUCCCUCUGCCCAGAGCACCUGCCUUCACUCCCUCACAGGUGUUGCUCCUCAGGGCACUCCCCAGUCCUCAUGCAAAUCUCAGUGUGUGUCCUGGGAGGACCCAAAGUAAAACACCUUAUGAAAUGAUUUCAAUUAAAGCAGCCUGGUGUCCAGUGGCAGAACAGCACUAGACCAGAACCGGCGGAGGGCAGAGUUUCGUGGGAUGGGUGUUGACUAGGGCCCUUGGUGGCCCACACACCCCAAGGAGUGUGAGGGAAUUGGGUCCGAGUGGGCGCUGGAAAUAUGUGGGAGUAUUUUCCCUUGUCACAAUAUGUCAAAUGGGAAGAACCAGUUUUUUUCUCACAAGAAAAAAAAACUGUUGCAGAAACAAAAGGUGUAAAAAGAAAUAAACUGUAAACCUUAUUUCCUGUACUAGCCUCUUGUUCAGGUUUCGUCUCCCAUGCACUCUUUGGUAUCUUCAGCUACUCGUGGGUUCUUUUUGUAUUUGUCUCAAAUUUAUAGAUGUGUGAAAGAUGGGCUGAAGGGGGUUUAUGCCAUCAUCCUGGAGCAAGAACUAGAGUGAUAGAGUUUUGAUCUCUGGGUAUUAAACGGGGUUUGGGCAAACUAUGAUGUGUAUUAAGCUCCUCUGGAAACAAUGGAUCUCAGAUGAAGUCACGACUUCCCUGGUAGGGUUCUCACUGUUCCAGUAUUUGUAAUACAGUUGUAGAGAAAAACAACCACCUGUUCCUUGGAACCUGGCCAAUCUUAGGUUCAUUGCUUACCAUUUCCUUUAUGCCUGCUCUUUCCAGAUAACAAUUGUACUGCAUUUAAACCUCAUCUCAGGCCCCCUUUGGGUAAAAUUCCAGAUAGAAAAGAGUCCUCAUUUAACAUCUGUCAUUCAACUCUAUGGAAAUGAGAGUAAUAGGGGUAAAAUCGGCAUUUUGGCAGUGUAAGUUGUUCAUUUUUGUCUCCCCUUCAGUUUGCGUUUAACUGGACAUCCAUGACUGAAUAAAAGUGUCUCUACCCAGCAUACAAGGAUACAGUGUGAUCCAUGCAUCCUCAUUCAAAAGCAGGUGGAUUGAGAAGCAGAGAAGCUGUGGGGCCAAGGGAGGUGCAGCAGCAGGAGCGGCAGUGCUGGGACCAGCAGAGGAGGCAGAGGAGGUGGAAAGCACAGGUGGUAAGUGAAGUCCUCCCGACUGCUCAGGUGCAGCUGGAGGGGCCUGUUGCUCUUCAGCAGCACCUGGGUUUCCCGGAAGAGAACUCUGCGACUGGGACAGAGGACGGAAAGGGAAGAAGGCAGAGAAAGAGAAUUGAAGGAAGAAGUGUUCUGCUGUCUGCCUUGGUAUUUCAGGAAGAGGUCUGGGACUUCUGAGACUCCUCCCACCCACCCUAGAGUCCUUGGGCACACCCAAAGACCCAAGGGCUAAGCCCACAAUUCCCUUGCCGCUGUGCUACCAGAUUUUUUUGUUUUUGUUUUUAAUGUCAGCUCUAUUUGGUGUGCUCCUAAAUUUCGUGGAGAAUCAGCUCCUUUAGGAGAAAGAAAAUAUUGUGUUAUGUCAUGAGAUCUUCUGUGAAACAAAAAUAAAGUUUCUGAUUGCCAAU